ACGAACGCUGGCGGCAUGCCUAACCCAUGCACGUCGAACGAGACCUUCGGGUCUAGUGGCGCACGGGUGCGUAACGCGUGGGAACCUGCCCUUAGGUUCGGAAUAACUCCCCGAAAGGGGUGCUAAUACCGGAUAAUGUCUUCGGACCAAAGAUUUAUCGCCUUUGGAUGGGCCCGCGUUGGAUUAGCUAGUUGGUAGGGUAAAAGCCUACCAAGGCGACGAUCCAUAGCUGGUCUGAGAGGAUGAUCAGCCACACUGGGACUGAGACACGGCCCAGACUCCUACGGGAGGCAGCAGUGGGGAAUAUUGGACAAUGGGCGAAAGCCUGAUCCAGCAAUGCCGCGUGAGUGAUGAAGGCCUUAGGGUUGUAAAGCUCUUUUACCCGGGAUGAUAAUGACAGUACCGGGAGAAUAAGCGCCGGCUAACUCCGUG
rnacentral:rRNA from 1 species